rnacentral:rRNA from 1 species
UACGUAAGGUCCGAGCGUUGUCCGGAAUCAUUGGGCGUAAAGGGUACGUAGGCGGAUAAGCAAGUUAGAAGUGAAAGGCUAUAGCUCAACUAUAGUAAGCUUUUAAAACUGUUUAACUUGAGAGAUGGAAGGGAAAGUGGAAUUCCUAGUGUAGCGGUGAAAUGCGCAGAUAUUAAAAAGAAUACCGGUGGCGAAGGCGACUUACUGGGCUCAUUCUGACGCUGAGGAACGAAAGCGUGGGUAGCAAACAGG